rnacentral:sRNA from 1 species
GCUGUGGGCCCGACGCAAUUCACGCUAGCCCUGGGCCGCGCGCGAUUCCCACCUUCGUCGAGAGCCUGCACUUGCGUGCAUGACGGCUGCGGCUCCUCCUUCACCCAAGGGCGAGCUCCGCAACGCUGGCAUCGACAACCAGGUCAGUACACAAACCACCGCGCAGGGCUACCCCCAGAGCCUCUGCUUUUUCG